rnacentral:rRNA from 1 species
AGUGAACGCUGGCGGUAGGCCUAACACAUGCAAGUCGAACGGCAGCACAGUAAGAGCUUGCUCUUACGGGUGGCGAGUGGCGGAUGGGUGAGGAAUACAUAGGCAUCUACUUUUUCGUGGGGGAUAACGUAGGGAAACUUACGAUAAUACCGCAUAUGACCUACGGGUGAAAGCAGUGGUUAUUCGGAGCUUUCGCGACUCAUUGAGCCGAUGUCGGAUUAGCUAGUUGGGGGGGUAAAGGCCCACCAAGGCGACGAUCCGUAGCUGAUCUGAGAGGAUGAUCGGCCACACUGGAACUGAGACACGGUCCAGACUCCUACGGGAGGCAGCAGUGGGGAAUAUUGGGCAAUGGGCGCAAGCCUGAUGCAGCCACGCCGCGUGAGUGAUGAAGGCCUUCGGAUUGUAAAGCCCUGUUAUUGGGGAAGAAAAGCAGUAGGUUAAUACACCGCUGUUUUGACGGUACCCAAAGAAUAAGCACCGGCUAACUUCGUG